rnacentral:rRNA from 1 species
UACGUAGGGUGCAAGCGUUAAUCGGAAUUACUGGGCGUAAAGCGUGUGUAGGUGGUUUUCUAAGUCAGGUGUGAAAUCCCCAGGCUCAACCUGGGAACUGCAUUUGAUACUGGAAGACUAGAGUGUGGUAGAGGAUAGUGGAAUUCCCGGUGUAGCGGUGAAAUGCGUAGAUAUCGGGAGGAACAUCAGUGGCGAAGGCGGCUAUCUGGACUAACACUGACACUGAGACACGAAAGCGUGGGGAGCAAACAGG